GACGAACGCUGGCGGCGUGCUUAACACAUGCAAGUCGAACGAUGACGACCGAGCUUGCUCGGUCUGAUUAGUGGCGAACGGGUGAGUAACACGUGAGCAACCUGCCCUUCACUCUGGGAUAACCUCGGGAAAUCGGGGCUAAUACCGGAUAUGAGCUCCUGUCGCAUGGCGGGUGUUGGAAAGUUUUUCGGUGAAGGAUGGGCUCGCGGCCUAUCAGUUUGUUGGUGAGGUAGUGGCUCACCAAGGCGAUGACGGGUAGCCGGCCUGAGAGGGCGACCGGCCACACUGGGACUGAGGCACGGCCCAGACUCCUACGGGAGGCAGCAGUGGGGAAUAUUGCACAAUGGGCGAAAGCCUGAUGCAGCGACGCCGCGUGAGGGAUGACGGCCUUCGGGUUGUAAACCUCUUUCAGCAGGGAAGAAGCGAAAGUGACGGUACCUGCAGAAGAAGCGCCGGCUAACUACGUG
rnacentral:rRNA from 1 species